rnacentral:ncRNA from 1 species
UUCCGCUAGGGGAGCACAUCGCUGAGACUGGAAUGCUGUAACUACUGCAUUUCUAACCCUCACUACUUGAACCGGAUAAUACCGGCGUAAGGAAGCACAGAGUUCA